UACGUAGGGGGCUAGCGUUGUCCGGAAUCAUUGGGCGUAAAGCGCGCGUAGGCGGCCCGGUAAGUCCGCUGUGAAAGUCAAAGGCUCAACCUUUGAAUGUCAGCGGAUACUGCCGGGCUAGAGUCCGGAAGAGGCGAGUGGAAUUCCUGGUGUAGCGGCGGAAUGCGCAGAUAUCAGGAGGAACACCAACGGCGAAGGCAGCUCGCUGGGACGGUACUGACGCUGAGGCGCGAAAGCGUGGGGAGCGAACAGG
rnacentral:rRNA from 1 species